CGCAUCUGUGCAUGCAGCAUAUCAAUAAGCGGAGGAAAAGAAACUAACAAGGAUUCCCCUAGUAACGGCGAGUGAAGCGGGAAGAGCUCAAAUUUGAAAUCUUAAAGGGUUUCCCUUUACGAAUUGUAGUUUAAAGAAGUGUUUUCUGUUGAGGUUUUGGUAAAAGUUCUUUGGAAUAGGACAUCAUAGAGGGUGAGAAUCCCGUAUUUGACCUUUACUUUCAACUUUGUGAUACACUUUCAAAGAGUCGGAUUGUAUUGGGAAUGCAGUCCAAAAUGGGUGGUAAAUUUCAUCUAAAGCUAAAUAUUGGCGAGAGACCGAUAGCGAACAAGUACCGUGAGGGAAAGAUGAAAAGAACUUUGAAAAGAGAGUUAAACAGUACGUGAAAUUGUCAAAAGGGAAGCGUUUGACACCAGUGUUGUUUUUCUGAAAAUCAAUUAAAGAACUGUUUAUGCUAAGCUGUUUAGACUUUAUCAGCUAUCUGUUUAGUUUUGAGCUUUUCUUUAAUGCACUUUUCAGUUAACAAGUCAACAUCAAUUUCUUUUGCUGUAAAAAAGCUUGAGGAAGGUGGCUUGAGAUUCGUCUUAAGUGUUUAUAGCCUCUUGCCUAUGCAGUCGGAGAGAUUGAGGUCUGCAGCGUAGAUCCUUCGGGGCUAAAUGCAUUUGUGCUAAGUUAUAGCAUUUUAUAGACAACUUGUUGACUAUGAUUUGUCUUGUAGCUUACUCGCUUAUGUUAUUUUACCUACGCUUAGGAUGUUGAGUCGUAGAGCACGCAG
rnacentral:rRNA from 1 species